rnacentral:rRNA from 1 species
AAUAUUUCACAAUGGGGGAAACCCUGAUCCAGCCAUGCCGCGUGUGUGAAGAAGGUCUUCGGAUUGUAAAGCACUUUAAGUUGGGAGGAAGCGCUUUAGGUUAAUACUCUGAAGUUUUGACGUUACCAACAGAUUAAGUCCCGGCUAACUCUGUGCCAGCUGACGCGGUCAUACAGAGGGUGCAAGCGUUACUCGGAAUUACUGGGAGUAAAGCGCGCGUAGGUGGUGCAGUAAGAUGGGUUGGAAAUCCCCGGGCUUAACCUGGGAACUGCUUUCAUAACUGCUGAGCUAGAGUAGGGUAGAGGGUAGUGGAAUUUCCUGUGUAGCGGUGAAAUGCGUAGAUAUAGGAAGGAACACCAGUGGCGAAGGCGACUACCUGGACUGAUACUGACACUGAGGUGCGAAAGCGUGGGGAGCAAACA